rnacentral:rRNA from 1 species
AUACGGAGGGUGCGAGCGUUGUCCGGAAUCACUGGGCGCAAAGGGCGCGUAGGCGGUGACUUAAGCGUGUGGUGAAAGCCCGGGGCUCAACCCCGGGUCUGCCGUGCGAACUGGGUCACUUGAGCACUGUAGAGGCAGGUGGAAUUCCGGGUGUAGCGGUGGGAAUGCGUAGAGAUCCGGAAGAACACCAGUGGCGAAGGCGGCCUGCUGGGCAGUAGCUGACGCUGAGGCGCGACAGCGUGGGGAGC